GAUGAACGCUGGCGGCGUGCCUAAUACAUGCAAGUCGAGCGAACAGACGAGGAGCUUGCUCCUCUGACGUUAGCGGCGGACGGGUGAGUAACACGUGGAUAACCUACCUAUAAGACUGGGAUAACUUCGGGAAACCGGAGCUAAUACCGGAUAAUAUAUUGAACCGCAUGGUUCAAUAGUGAAAGACGGUUUUGCUGUCACUUAUAGAUGGAUCCGCGCUGGAUUAGCUAGUUGGUAAUGUAACGGCUUACCAAGGCAACGAUGCGUAGCCGACCUGAGAGGGUGAUCGGCCACCCUGGAACUGGGACACGGUCCAGACUCCUACGGGAGGCAGCAGUAGGGAAUCUUCCGCAAUGGGCGAAAGCCUGACGGAGCAACGCCGCGUGAGUGAUGAAGGUCUUCGGAUCGUAAAACUCUGUUAUUAGGGAAGAACAAAUGUGUAAGUAACUGUGCACGUCUUGACGGUACCUAAUCAGAAAGCCACGGCUAACUACGUG
rnacentral:rRNA from 1 species